GGGUUUCAACAUCCACGGUUUUGCAGAAAAGUAAGUUCUUCUUAUCAUGUUCUUCUUCAUGGGAUCUCACAGUGGCACCCCUACACGCUAUGAAGAUCACCCCAUUGAAUGGAAAGAGAAGGUCAUGUAACCCUACUUGCUCAUAUGAUCGGACGGCCUAGUGACUAUCCAAUCCGAGUACUUUACUACUCAGAACAUCUAAUCUAAUUCACAUAUUAUAUAUGCAAAAAUUUAGAUCAAAUCUAAAUUAUAUUAGAUCUGAUUUUACA
rnacentral:lncRNA from 1 species